rnacentral:rRNA from 1 species
AGAGUUUGAUCCUGGCUCAGGACGAACGCUGGCGGCGUGCUUAACACAUGCAAGUCGAACGGAGAUAUGGGUGCUUGCACCUAUAUUUUAGUGGCGGACGGGUGAGUAACGCGUGAGCAACCUGCCUUACAGAGGGGGAUAACGUCUGGAAACGGACGCUAAUACCGCAUGAAAUAUUGAUAUGGCAUCAUGUUAAUAUCAAAGGGAAUAACCGCUGUAAGAUGGGCUCGCGUCUGAUUAGCUAGUUGGUAAGGUAACGGCCUACCAAGGCGACGAUCAGUAGCCGAACUGAGAGGUUGAUCGGCCACAUUGGGACUGAGACACGGCCCAGACUCCUACGGGAGGCAGCAGUGGGGGAUAUUGCACAAUGGGGGGAACCCUGGAUGCAGCAACGCCGCGUGAGGGAAGAAGGUUUUCGGAUUGUAAACCUCUGUCUUUGGUGACGAUAAUGACGGUAGCCAAGGAGGAAGCUCCGGCUAACUACGUGCCAGCAGCCGCGGUAAUACGUAGGGAGCGAGCGUUGUCCGGAAUUACUGGGUGUAAAGGGUGCGUAGGCGGGGUUGCAAGUCAGGCGUGAAAUCCAUCGGCUUAACCGGUGAACUGCGCUUGAAACUGUAAUUCUUGAGUGAAGUAGAGGCAGGCGGAAUUCCGAGUGUAGCGGUGAAAUGCGUAGAUAUUCGGAGGAACACCAGUGGCGAAGGCGGCCUGCUGGGCUUUUACUGACGCUGAGGCACGAAAGCAUGGGGAGCAAACAGGAUUAGAUACCCUGGUAGUCCAUGCUGUAAACGAUGAAUGCUAGGUGUGGGGGGACUGACCCCUUCCGUGCCGGAGUAAACACAAUAAGCAUUCCACCUGGGGAGUACGACCGCAAGGUUGAAACUCAAAGGAAUUGAC